UACGUAGGGUGCGAGCGUUAAUCGGAAUUACUGGGCGUAAAGCGUGCGCAGGCGGUUUUGUAAGCCAGAUGUGAAAGCCCCGGGCUUAACCUGGGAAUGGCAUUUGGGACUGCAAGGCUUGAGUGCGGCAGAGGAGACUGGAAUUCCUGGUGUAGCAGUGAAAUGCGUAGAUAUCAGGAGGAACACCGGUGGCGAAGGCGGGUCUCUGGGCCGUAACUGACGCUGAGGAGCGAAAGCAUGGGGAGCGAACAGG
rnacentral:rRNA from 1 species